CAUCGCUGAUCCGAAAAUUUAUUGUAUUUACUUUAUUCAAUUGGACGUACCUGCAGCGAGUGGACGAGCAAGAGAGCUUUCCAAGGAGCCAGCCGAUCCCAGAGAGAAACCAGAGCAGCCGCCAUGUCCACGCAGCCAGCGGAGAACGAGGAGAGCGCGGCGGCCAAGUCCAAGCGACCUUCAGAUUCGGCCUUCAAGCAGCAGCGCCUGCCCGCCUGGCAGCCCGUCCUCACCGCCCGCACCGUCCUGCCCACCUUCUUCGUGAUCGGGGUGCUCUUCAUACCCAUCGGCGUCGUCCUGCUGCACCUGAGCAACACCGCCAACGAGCUGAUCAUCGACUACACCAAGUGCCGGCCGACGGGCGGGAACGCCACCUGCGCGGAGUACCUGGAGGCCAACGCCGGCGGCAAGUGCACCUGCCAGGUGCCCUUCGUCCUCCCCAAGGACUUCAAUGGCGUGGUGUACAUGUACUACGGGCUCACCAACUACUACCAGAACCAUCGGCGCUAUGUGAAGUCACGGGACGACGAGCAGCUGCUGGGUCACCUGUCGCAAACGCCCAGCUCGGACUGCGACCCCUUCUCCUACGAUCCGGAGUCGCGGAAGCCCAUUGCGCCCUGCGGCGCCAUCGCCAACUCACUGUUCAAUGACACGCUCACCCUGCUGCAGGCGGGCAACGAGAUCAAGCUGCUGAAGACGGGCAUCGCCUGGCCGUCGGACAAGCGGGUGAAGUUCCGCAACCCGGAGGGCAACCUCAACGUCUCCCUCGAGGACUUUGCCAAGCCAAUCUUCUGGCAGAAGAGCUUGGCCGAGCUGGACCCGGAGAAUCCGGAGAACAACGGCUUCCAGAACGAGGAUCUGAUCGUGUGGAUGCGCACCGCCGCUCUGCCCAGCUUCCGGAAGCUCUAUCGUCGUCUUGACCAGACGAACACCCAAUAUGCGAAUGGCCUGAAGGCCGGAAACUACACGCUGAACAUCACCUACCAGUAUCCGGUGGUCUCGUUCGACGGCACCAAGCGCAUGAUCCUGUCCACCACCUCGGUGCUCGGCGGCAAGAAUCCCUUCCUGGGCAUCGCGUACAUUGUGGUCGGCGCCAUUUGCAUCACCCUGGGCCUGGCCCUGCUCUUCAUCCACAUGCGAUGCAACCGCAGCAUAGUAGUGCACUAGGUGCGCUAAGUGCCGGGAAUACCUCAUAGCCCAUUGAAGCAGCAUUCCCUCCCAUGGCCAAUUUAGCUUUGCUCGCAACAUGGAGAUGAUCAAUGUGAACCCGCACACGCAGUACUCCUAGGCCGGGCCGGGCUGCUUCACUUAGCUCUAGUAGAUCCAUCUGUUUAAGCCUUAUCAGCAUAAAAUAGUUUCUAUCGACCAACUGGCUCUGUGUUAUCGACUGCUCUGCUCUUUGUGUUACCUAGCUGUGUGCAUUUGGCCGGGCGAGCGCAGGCCUCGGCCCCAUGCCUCUGGUUGAUUCUAUUUGCUUGUGACUUGUGAUUGUUUUUUGUAUAACUUAUUCUGCACAUCCGACACCGAGUGGGGCGCCCUGCGUAGAGCCACACGAAAUUCCACCAUCGCUUUACAAACCGCAAAGAAGUAUAGUACUUUGUGCCUGACCUAAUCUGUAUUGCCUUUUACUACGUUUAUACGUGCAAAUAAACACUGUUAAUGGCAGAA